UUACAGCAAAGUGGCGGACGGGAGGGGGGCAAGGAAGGGAAGGAGAUAGCAGCUGGCAAGGCUGUGUGCCCACGGGGAGGCGAAGGCACUAGAGGGCCAGUGCAACUGUUUGGCAUCAGAGAGGAAGCUGGUGCUGCGCGUGCAUUUUCGAGUGCUGGCACGGUGCCCCCCGGCCCAUCCACAUUGUUUGGCACCAGCCGGUAUUGGGAGGCAUGGAAAGGGAAUGACAAAAAGAGAGAAACAGAAAGACAGAAAGGAAGAUGAGAGAUGUGUCGGUGUGCUUUGAUGACAGCGGGCAUCUGAGACGGGACCUGGGCAGAGCUUGCGGGCGCUUGGGAUGAGACAGGGAAUGACCAAAGAAUGGGCUUUGGAGAGAGAAGAGGAUAUGUUGAUGAUUCGCACUGGGAAAGACGGGAAGUGGGCAAGGAAGUUGGGUAAAAUCCUCUACAUGGGGAUUGCCGUGGUUGGAAGAGGGUAGCUGCUUGACUGAGCCGCCAAGAUGUGGAUAUGGGCACCUUGACCCAUUGUGCAUUAAACGUCUCCUCUUUUCUCACACCCACUCCUGCUCCUGUCGCUUUUCAAACUGGCACACCUGUGCCCAUCUCAAGUUGGCACCGAGUCAAAGCUGGUUGGGGCUGGCAUCACCCGCACUGGCACGUGAACAGAGUUGCUGAUCUUGGCACUGCGGCAAACAGUGGGAAGAAGAGGAGAAUGAUAAGUUGCUGCCAUUACAGCUGCCUGGGUACAGCCUUGUAGUAGCAGCGGAUCUAUUGGUGGGCGUGGAAGAACGCGGGCAUAGAAAACUGUGGCACCUACGUGACCAUGAGAAAUAUUGAAUUGUGGAUGUCUGCGAGUCAAGACCAGAAGAUAGAAGGAUCUGGAAUCUUCCAUCGGUCUCCUUUGUGAACGUUUGAGGGUUCUUUUGAAGGCUGGCAGCUGAAAAGUUCAGAAAAAUCGAAAGGAAGAAGGGGGGAAUAGAGGGAAUUCCGGUGCCAACGUUGUGAAAGUCGGAAUGACGCAUGAUCCAGGACUUUAUCCUCGUCAGAGACUAAUUAAACUCUCAACCCAA